rnacentral:tRNA from 1 species
GGCGCUAUCGAAUAAGGGUUCAGUUCGCGGCCCUCUCAAGGCUGAAAUACGGGUUCGAAUCCCGUUAGCGCUA